CAUUCAGCCUACCUCGGUGAUCUUUUGGAGGGACACGGAUCAGGGGAUGUGAUGGGGGGCUGGCUUAGAAGGUGCAGAGAUCCUACAGGGGAGGUACCCCUUUAGGGAGACCUUUCCUCCGCACGAGGAGCGCCCUGAUGAGGAGGUUAUGGGCAGACUGAAGCACGUGAGGUCAUGGGGAGCCACGGGGGAAGAGAGCAUAAAAAGGAGGGAGGAAGAAGCAGCCAGACGACGGGGUCAUUGGUCUGAUGGUGAUGACAAACUUACGGGGGGCGGGGUUCCCUCCCAUGGCUGAUGCCUGGGUCAGGGUGAGGCUUGUCAGAGAGAUGCCCGUGGCUGUGGCUGAGUAGUUGCUGUCGAAGGGGGGGGGUCCUCUGCUGCACGUAAGGGGUGUCAGCAUCUAGGAGGUCUCCACCAACAUAAAAUUAACCUGGGUUCAAAGACCCUUCAAACACAUGGAACAUGACUUCCCAGAAAACCCAAUGAACUGCUGUGUUCAUUGAGAGAACAGCCUGGCAUUUAGGCAUUUAGGAUUUACAGGGGCUGCUAGAGGGACUACGUUGUAGAUCCCGCAAAUUGCCUGAACCGAUUUUCAGAAUGAGAACUCUGGAGUCUCGUAAGAGCCUCAGUCACCAAGGGCUUGUGCUGCUUUGUUCUGAAGGCCUCUAAUGGAUUCAAAUUCUCUUCUGAUGCCGGCGGAACCUCUCCGUGUCUCCGGGUGCCGGGUUUGGGGAGGAAGACAAGAAGACAACGGGCCGAGCUGUAUCAAGCAGUGGAAUUUUGAUACAAGAGAACGCGUGGCUUCGAAAGAGGAAGUCACGGAGGUGUUGGGGGGCCUGUGAAUGCCCCCGGCCGGGAGCCAGGCUGCCCUUAGUUCAGGAAGGCACUCUCCGGACGGCCCCUGAGUUCUGCUCCAGCGCCACCGUUGUGUGCCUCAGCUGCCCGACAGCGGUUGGCGCUAGGCCCUUCCCUGCACGUCCUUCAGGAGACCAGUGGCCCGCAGGACGGAGGCCUUAGACUGGCACCCGCGCCCAUUCACGGCUCUACGGGCCCCGCGGGAGGCUGGCUGCCUUGCGGAGCCGUGGAAGAGGAACGAAGCAGGAUUGGGGGUCUGCAGAGCUGCCCUCGGGCUCUGAGACUAGUCGGCCCUUAUGAGAAUCAAGAGGGCGUCAGUUUUCCCUUCUGUCCUAUGGAGAAAACCGUAGAAGGUUCUUAAGAGGCCAAAAGGGAGGACAGGAAAUGCCCAGCACGCAGUGGCCUCCUCCCCUGGCCCACUGCCCCCUCGCCGCGUGGUCCUGCUCAGGUCCUGACACCUGCUGUCCCUGCAGGAAGACUGGUGGUUUGUGAACAACCAUCUCAGAGGUAAAAAGAGCCUUCAGAGGACACUGAGAGAUGAAUAUUUCACCUUCUACUGUCCCCAGAUGACUUGUCAGGAAGUGGAACUUUGGUCUCGGGGACUCCAUAAGUGGUUUUGAACAGGACUCUUUAAACUCUUGAUCAACCAGUUUCUACUUUAAAUCUCUACUACUUAUGUCCUUAUGCAGAAGGACUGUUGAGAAUUUUGGAGCUUUUUUUUUUUUAAAAUACUGCAUUAUCACAGACCUUGCUGAACCCAAAGGUGAGAAAUCAAAGGGGACAGAUAUUUUUGCCUGUUUAAAAGAAUACUUUGAUACCGUAGAAGUUGGGGUUAGAAUAUUUUGUUCCUUGUGGUGUAAUGAAAGCGUCUGGUUACAAAAACAUUGUCUUAAAUUGUUAAAGCGGUUCAAUAGGUCACACCUUCCCUGGGCUGGCCGAAUGACUUCCUGGCGCUAACACAAUUGGGUGAAAGAAACACUGUACAAGUUCUGGGACAGAGUCCGCGUUCAUACUCUUGUGGCUUGUCCUAUAAUGGUAGGAUAAUGUCUUUGAGCACGAGGGGACCUACAGAGGGAGAGGCUCUGGUGGGUGAAUGACCAUGAGCUGUCAUAGUUGAGGAGCCAGAGCCAUGAGUAGAGUCCUCUUGGAUUCUCCAGCCUCAGUCAAUUGGCCAAUUGACUGAAAAUGCACGAAUGAACCCAGAAAACUCUUGAAGCGGAGACAAGCUACCCAGCAGAGCCCAGCUCACACUGUAGAAUUAUGAGCAAAGCCAUGGUUUUAAGUCACUAAGCUGGGGAAUGACUUGUCACAUAGCAGUAGAUAACCUCACCACACAUGGUGGAGACGCGGGUCCUUUGAGUCACAGGACUCUAGGGCAAGCCAGAUAGGAGGGACUAGUACGGGAACGUCCCGGAGUGGUGACACUCUAGUUGGGCUGUGCAUGCUUCCAUUUUCUCUGAGGGACCGCGGCACCAUGUCUUGUGUGUACUUCUGUUUGGCACUAAUGUGAUUUGUUCUCGGCCUGUCUCUCUCAGUAGAAGGUGGGUUCCUUGUAGAAGAGGCCGUAUUUCGGUGGUUCUGUAGCUCUAGCACCUAAUGGGCUUUCCCAUGUAGAAGUUGCUCAAGAAAUGUUUGUUAAAGCAAAACACUGAAAUAACUCCAGAGAAGUGCUGCUGUAUUAUCAAGGACCAGGAAGGAAACGGUGCGCUUUUGAAUGGACGAGUAAAGAGGAUGCUAGAGAAAGGAAGCUUUAUUUUUUAUUUUUUUGAAUUCAUGAUUUUUUUUCUAGAAUCGUUGAGCUGCACGGUUUAUAUUUCCUUUCCAGGACACUUAGUGCUUCCUACAUUAACCC